GAUGAACGCUGGCGGCGUGCCUAAUACAUGCAAGUCGGACGGUCAGCCGGGAACGGUUGAUAGUGGCGAACGGGUGAGUAACGCGUUGGUGACCUGUCCUUUAGAGCGGGAUAACAGGCCGAAAGGGCUGCUAAUACCGCAUGAGUUCGCGCGGAUUAGGAGAGUGCGAAGAAAGCCGAAAGGCGCUGAAGGAGGGGCCUGCGACCCAUCAGCUAGUUGGUAAGGUAACGGCCUACCAAGGCGAUGACGGGUAGGGGACCUGAGAGGGUGGCCCCCCACAAUGGAACUGAAACACGGUCCAUACACCUACGGGUGGCAGCAGUAGGGGAUAUUGGUGAAUGGGCGAAAGCCCGAACCAGCAACGCCGCGUGUGCGAAGAAGGCCUUGGGUCGUAAAGCACUUUUACUCGGGAAGAGGAAGGACGGUAACCGGGGAAGAAGCCUCGGCUAAACUACGUG
rnacentral:rRNA from 1 species